UACCGAGGUCUCAAGCGUUGUUCGGAAUCACUGGGCGUAAAGCGUGCGUGGGCUGUUUCGUAAGUCGUGUGUGAAGGGCGCGGGCUCAACCCGCGGACGGCACAUGAUACUGCGAGACUAGAGUAAUGGAGGGGGAACCGGAAUUCUCGGUGUAGCAGUGAAAUGCGUAGAUAUCGAGAGGAACACUCGUGGCGAAGGCGGGUUCCUGGACAUUAACUGACGCUGAGGCACGAAGGCCAGGGGAGCGAAAGGG
rnacentral:rRNA from 1 species